UUUAAACAUAAUUUACGGAUUUUAGAAACGAAUAUGUAAUUGAAAUAUAAUUAUUUUAUUUCAUUUCGAAUACUUUUAAUGAUUAUGAAAUCAAAAUGUAUUUUCGAGUUUUACUUUAAAACGAACUCGAAUUCGAAACCACGUUCUAUUGAAAUUAGAAAACAAGUCCUAACCAUUUCGGAUUCAGCAACCUAAAUUCUACUCCUGGCCCAAUUGGGCAAAGCCCAAACCAAUAAAACCCCAAAACCAUACUCCCUUCCCUUAUCCUGAUUCACGUAAAAAAAAAAAAAAGAUCAGACUCCCUUCCUUCAACCUCACGUACUCCUAGCCGUCCCUCUCCCUCUCUCAGCCGUGUGCCCUCCACGCCGUCGUCCCAGCCGCCGACCACCACGCACGCAACACCGCGACACAGCACCACCGUCAGCCGGUGAACCUUGCCGCGAGCCGCCACCUGUCCGCCGGCCAGCCUUCUCUCUCCCCUUUAGUUCUUGGCGGAGAAUUCUCUUUAGGCGACUUUUGAAAGUGUUAAAGUGGCCUAUCAGUUUGUUUACACAAGGUACGUACAUACUUGCGUGCUUGGAAUGUGUGCUAAUUGUUGAAACCAUGUUGAAUUUGUUGUUGAACUUGGUUAUGUUGAUAUUAUGGUUGAACUUGGUGAUGUUGAUAUUAUGGACGAACUUGGUUAUAUGGAAUGUGCAUGUUUAAUACUGUUGGGCAAACUUAUUGAACUUAUUUUGCACUAAGAGAACUGUAACAUGUUAGUAUGGAUGAUUGAUACAAACAUGUUGGUUGGGAACACUAGAUUAUUCUAUAUGAUUGGUUUGGAUCGAUUGGUUGUUGUUCCCUUUUUAGCUUUUCACUACUUUAUGAGGGCCGAGGACCUUGUUUAGUAAGUUGAAACUUUAUACCCAUAUACAGGGUUGAUCAUGGUUAAAGGAAAGGUUGGGUAAAUUGGAAUGAGUCUUGAUUGAUGCCUUUAUAGUCACGUACUUAAUUCCAAGAUAAAAACAGUUGUGAACGAAUGUGGAUUAUAUGCCUUAUGUGAUUGUUGAGUCAUAACAAAAUCUCAAUUGUAAAUCAUGUAAAGUGAAACUGAGUAGCAAUAGCUUUAGAAUGUGCACGUCUAAAGUGACGGACAAACAGGAGUUGGGGUUCAUGGUGGUAGCCCAUGGCCUUUUCUGGGACCGGAUUGAUCACCGUGUUCUAUUUUUAUUUAAACGUUCCUCGAUAUCGCAGGUCACUGAGGUCACGGAGUCGCGCCCGUACCUCGUCUUCCUUAGUGAAGACUUCUGGAUGGACAACUCGGUCUAUUGUCUACUUCAACUAAAAUAAUAUUAUUGUUGUAGGUCUAGCCUAGUCUAGUCAAGUAUGGUCGUCAAAUUAUCAUGUUAUGUCUGCCCUUGUUUAUGUUCAUUAGUAUCAUGUUAGGGUUGUUAUUGUUUUAAUAUGUAAUACUCAGCUUUGCUGAUUACGUGCUUUGUUUGUGUGUGUUGAUCAUGGCUAUGCCUUAUUGAUCCUGUGAUGACCCAACUUUGGUGAGCAGUCUCUAAGGAUCAAUAAGCGUUGCCCAUCUACAGGUUUGAAGAUGAUGCAUUAUUGGGAUUUGGAUUAGAGAGCUUGUAGUCAUAUUUGCUUUAUUAAGUGAUUUGGUUUGUUAACUUAAAUUUGAAAUUGUCGUACUAUUCGUAUUUCUUUAUUUCAGUUAAUUGGUUUUGGACCUAAUAUGUAAUAAGAUUAUUUAUGAACCUAAAAGUUAGUUUUAUGUUUUCUGCUGCAAAAUUCUGAAUAAGCCGUUACGUUUUCACACGGGCGAUAAUACUUUGAUAAUUCCCUACAGUUAUAUUUAAAAAGGGUUAAUUUAGAAAAUGGGAAUUGUCGGGGUGUUAGACAUGACAUAGAACUAGCAGCCAUGUUGUUUGCAUGGAUGAGAUUAUGGAGAAUCAAAUUGGAGGUUAACUUGGAGCGAAUCAAGGAAAUGAUUUCGCAAGGGAAGGAAAUAGAUUUUAAGAUCCAUGUUGAUGUAAGUUUUAGGCACAAAGGAAGGUGGUGUGUGCCUCAAAUGUGCGGAGAGUUAAAGAAUAGCUCAUGAGAGAAGGUCAUAAUACACCAUAUUCUGUUCACCUAGGUGGUGACAAGUUGUAUAAGGAUCUGAAAAGUGUCUAUUAAUGGCCAAGAAUGAAGAAUGAAAUAGCUAAGUUGUAGCUAGAUAUUUGACUUAUCAGAAGAUCAAAAUAGAACAUAGAGACCUCAAGGAAAGGUUCAACCAUUAUAAUUUUCAAGUUGGAAAUGAGACUGUAUUUCAAUGGACCUUGUCACUUGUUUGCCCAAGUCAAAUCUAGGAAAUGACAUCAAUUGGGUUGUGGUAGAUAGACUGACCAAGCCAUCAGUGUUUAUACCAAUGAAGGAGACCUAGAAAGAUGGAGCAACUUUCUAAGGCUUGCAUUAAGUAUGUUGUGAGACUACAUGGAGUUCCUAAGGAUAUCGUGCCAGAUAGGGAUUCAAGGUUUCUUUCAAUCUUCUGGGAAAGUGUACAGAAGAACUGUGGCACGACAUUGAAAAUGAGUAUAGUGUUCCAUCCAUCCACAUAUGGACAAACUGAGAGAACCAUUUAGACACUUGAGGAUAUGCUUCAUGCACGUGAAAUUGAUUUCCAAGGAAGUUGGGAAGAUAGUUUACAUUUGAUUGAUUUUCCUAUAACAAUAUCAUGCCAAUGUAGGAAUGACACCAUUUGAGGCCUUGUAUGGAAGGAAAUGUAGAAGUCCACUAUGUUGGAGCGACAUUAGUGAAACAAUUGUGUUAGGACCUCAAAUGAUAGAGGACACAAUGAACCAAAUGAGAUCUAUUCACUCAAAGAUUCAAGCAGCGCAAAAUCGCCAAAAGAGCUAUGCAUACUUGACAAAAUUCUAGUGGGUGAAAAAAUUGUUACUCAAAGUUUCACCAAUGAAAGAUGUGAUAAGAUUUGUCAAGAAAGAAAAGCUUAGCCCAAGUAUAUAGGCCCAUAUGAAAUCCUAGAACGGAUAGGAAAGGUAGCUUAUAGACUAGCCUUACCAAUGGACCUGCAUAGAGUGCAUAAUGUGUUUCAUACAUCUCAAUUGAGAAAGUAUGUUCUGGAUAAGUCACAUGUGUUGCAACCGGAAACCAUAGAAUUAUACCAAAUUUUAUCUUUCAAGGAAAGACCAGUCAAAGUCCUGGAUUGUCAAGUCGUAGUACACGAACUAAGGGUGUUAAUAUUGUGAAAGUUUUGUGGUCUAAUGAAGUUUUGUGGUCCCGGGAAGCUUAGGACGAUAUGAGAAAGAAUUAUCCCUAGCUAUUUCCCAAGGGUAGUUGAGUUACGGGGUCGUAACUCGUUUCUUUUAAGGGGGGUAGAGUGCGGUAGAAUUUCGCGCUUUUACCUUAUUUUCCCUUAUUUUGUGCUUAAUUUAGUGCCUUCUAUGGAAUUGCACUUCAUAUUGCCAUGUUGAAUUACUUAAAGAGUACAGCAACUAAAUUUUUUUGCAAAGAAAACGCAAUAAAGUCUCAUAAAGUCUCAAGUUUUUAUUUCCGAGCCCAAGUUUUGGGACGAAACUUCUUUUAAGGAGGGUAGACUAUAAUACCUCGUAUUUUUCUGUAUUUUAUAAAUAUAUUUUAUUAUAUUUAUAAAGUAUUUUUAUGAUUUUUAGAAUUUAAAACGCAUUUAAAUGUUAUUUAAAUGUAUUUUAUUUAAUUAGAAUAUUUAUUAGUUUAAUUAUUACCAAACGAAUUUAUUAUUUAAUGUUGGGAAUUUAAUUGGGUUUCAAAAGUAAAACGACUUUAAAUGAAUCUAGGCCAAUUCAAUUCCAAGUUCAAGUCCAAACAAAUUAAACAAGCCCAUUCUAUGUUUAAUGAAGCCCGAAAAGAAUCCUAAAGCCUAGCCCAUCUUUGAAUUUCCUAAGCCUAUAAAUAUAGGUGCUCACCCUCAAAAUCGCUCCCUAUUAAUUAAACCUAAAAAUAAAACCCUAACCCUAAAUUCUUCUUUCUUUCGUCAAACUUAUGUUUGGCCGUUUUUCUCCUACUUCCUUUCGUUUAAAGUUGUAGAUCUCGAAAAGUUCUUGAACUUUGCCUCAAGAAUCGAUCAAUUCCGAGUUGUAGAUUAAAAGUUAUGAGCGUUCUAAAAUUCUGCUGCAGUAAUUUACUCCCUCUUUUUCUCUCGCCUCUCACGCCCCUCGACCCGCACAGCCGCGUGCUGUUGCUGUGUGUUGUUCUUGUUGUUGCUGUGCGUUGUUGGCCCUCGCCCACACACACUCGUCUCUCUUUUCUCUCCCUCGUGCCCGUCGUGCACCAAAGCCGAAGCCCUACUGCUGCUUCCCUUGCCUGCCGCGCACAACACACACUCGUGUGUGUUGUGUGUGUGUUGUUGUUGUUCCGUAUACUCUGUAUAUUUUGAUUCUUUUGCGCCCAAUCACAUUCAAAUCGUGAUUGUACCGUGCUAUAGGCCGGAUUGGUAUAAUUCUCUUCUUCCUUGCCUAUUCUAUUUCAAUUCCGUAUUUAAAUUAUAUUAUUAUUAUUGGUUUUGAUUAAUUAAAAUGCUGGGAUCGGUUAUGAACACCGAAUUUUGAGGAUUUGUAUGUUUGAAUUAUUGAAGAAUGUUUUGAAUUUAAAUAUUAUAAUUUUCAGAUUUGAAGUAUAUAUUAAAGCUUCAAUUUUUAUUAGUUUUAAUAGUUUUAAUUACAAACUAUGAUUGGAGUUUUAAUCUAAGCCUUAUGGGAGAUUGAUUAGCAUAAUUAGAUGAUGAAUUUAAUUAUGAUAAUCAAUUAUAUUUUUCAGAAUAUUGUAAAGACUUAAAACGACGACUUUUAAUGGUUUUAUACAUGAAAAUAAAUUAAUUUCAUGCUAGGGUUUUAAACGAUUGAUUGAGACUAUUAUUUUAUUAAUGAACGAUUAAGUUCUAAUGAAUUCAAGUGUAUUAAAACUAAACAAAGUUGUUGGAAAUUUAGUAAACAUGGAUAAUAAUUAAGUUUCUCCAUUGUGUUUAUAGGAGUUGAUUUCUAGUAAGUUGUGAUUCGCACAGUGGCCCCCGUACUUAGGUAUUCCAGGUACGUACAAGUCUAGGGCGACCACAUUAUUUGUCAAGGGACAUUACGUGAUUAUUUAUUGAUGUGAAUCAUAUUACGUGAACUUGGUGAAUUCAUAUUUGAUUUGGUGGACAAUCAUGUGAAUUAUUAUUAUUGGAAUUAUUGAAUUGUUGAUUGAACAAGCAUGUUGGGAUUAUUAUGAGUAUGGAUUUCAUUGUCAAUCAGGUUGUUCAAUAUUUAUGCAUGUAUGGUUUGUUUCACAUGCAAGGGAUGGAUUAUUUAUUAUUAUGCUAUUGUACGGGAUGUCUAGCAUACUUUGAGCCAAUUAUUCGUACGUCGUUGUACUAUUUAUUUACCACAUGUGAAGGGUUAGCUCACGUAAGCCACCGCACAUGUAGGGUUCAGUUGGGAAUAUUUUGUAUGAAAUGAAUUAGGAUUUGUCGUGCAAGGGCACAACCCUCAUGUUAAUGGGCAUAAUGUGGAAUCUCACUUUGGUGAGGAGGAACAUGGUAGUAAUUUCACAAGUGUCUUGUUUGGUUGAUCACAAAGUCUUAAAGCAUUAAAAUAAGAUUGUUUUUGUUGUUGUUUAUUAAUUGUGUGCAUUGUUGAGUCUUGAGUUCACCUUUAAUAAAAUAUUAAUAAACGUAAAGUGCAACCUAAACAAGCUUCAAAACUCUUGGAACGUAUAUACCUUGAGUAUGAACAAUGGGGGGAGUCUUGCCGGAAAGCUCGUACUCCUACUAAUGAUACAAGACGUUGUUUCAUUCAUAUUAUGCGCAGGAAUUCCGUCGGUAUGGACCGACACUCGGUAUGGCCCGAUUUUAUUAUUUAUUAUUUGGUGUAUGGUUGGCUCCCAUCACCUUUCCUUUAUGGAAUAUUCUUUUGGCCCGUUCGAAGCUUAUUCUAAUUAAAUUGUGAGUCAAGAGUCGAGUCAUGAGUCGAGUCAAGAGUCGAGUCUUGUAUUCAUGAUUUGCUUGUUAUUUAUUUAAUGGCUUCUGCAUGUUGAUUAGUACUUAGUGAGUGAUGCAUGUUUAUAGUUUUAUCUCACUCUAGCCUUGUAAGUACUCAGCUUUUUGCUGACUACGUGCUUUGUGUCUUUUGGUCAUGGCCUUUGCCUUGAUGACCCUAUGAUGAUCCAUCAUUUGCACUUGCAUUGUUGGGGAGUAGAAUAAUAUAGCAGGUUGGUAGAUCAAAGUACGAUCGAAAUCAUGUGGCUUGGGAUGAUUGAGAGAGUUGCAUGCUUUCGUACUUUAAAACUAUUUUAUCUAUACUUUAAUUAUGUUUUUAAUUUGCUGAACUUUUAAUACCUUGGUUUUUGGGCCGUUAUGGUUCCAACUUGUAGGAGGCCUCGAUAAUUUAUUAUUUAUGUUUUUGAAAAGUUAGUUGUCAUUAAAUUCCGCUGCGUAAUUCUGGUACUAGUCUUAACCGUUAUCACGGUGGCGGUAAUACUUUAGUAAUUCCUUUAUUUUAAGUUGGAAAAUGGUUUUAUAAAAGCAAGGAAUUAUUAGGGUGUUACACCUUCACUGCGUUCCCCUUGCGCUGCACUCCUUCCAGCUUCCCCUGCGGUUCUGCCAUUCCCCUAAACCCUGCGGUUCCCCUAAACCCUGCUUCCCCUGCGGUUCUGCCGCUCCCUGUUUAGAUCCGCCGCCCACGGCAGUCGCCCACAGCACGGCCGCUGCCCACGGCAGUAUCCCACAGCACAGCCGUCGCCGCCCACUCCGCCUCCAUUGUUCAUUGUCCUCUCUCCUCUCUUAGAUAUGGCUGUGGCUGAACUAGAAUUUGAUCAUCCUAACUAUGCAUCAAAGGCAGAGAACUCAUGGAAACUUAUUGCAAGCUCUCUUCAAUCCGUUCUAAAAUGCAACAUGGAGCUUAGGAUCAAUCUCUCUCAUAGUUAUGCCAAAUCCAAGAGGCCAUCUUUCAGUCUAUUUAGCUGUUCUCGCAGAAUUCACAAGUUAAAUACUUCUGAAAAUGGAAGUGAUCGAUUGUCAGAUGCCUCCAAUUUUACUUCUGAUAAAGCUAUGAUAGGAGACAACAACAAGCAUGUCGAAACUUGCUCAUCCUGUGGGUCCCAAUUAUCUCACAUUUGCAGCCACGGAAUGGUUAUUACUUUCAGAAAUAGCAAUGGAAAUGCACUAAGUACCGCAAGGUCUGGUGCAUCGACACCUCAAAGAGUCUCACAAGAUAGCAUGUCGAGUGAGCAUGAGAAAGUAUGCAAGAUUUGAACCGUUGAAGAGCAGGAUGUUCAGCCUAAUUGCUUUCCUAAAAACAUGAGACUCAGUAAAAAAAUGACAUCAUUAGAGUCUUCUGAAGUACUGUGCUUAAAGGUUCAGCCAAAAGCAAGAAGUAGGGAAGCAUCAUUUGAUGCAUAUAUCUGCACCGAUUAUCCUUACGUUUUAAGAAAUGGUAGCAACAAAAGUGACAUUUCACAACAUGAAGAUGGAAAAAUGGAAGACUCGGAGUCACAUUGCUGGAAAACACCGCCUUUUUCAAUGAAGAAGAGCAUUCAAUGUGUCCGGAAAAAUCAAACCCGAGGAAGCUGUGGAAUUUGCUAUCUCUUCUUUGCCAAAUGAGGUUGUCGAUACCAUUGGAGCUACAUCUUUGCCUUCUGAGGAUUCUGUUUCAGAAAGGAGGAGAAAGUUAGAGUUCCUUGAAAUACAGGAAGAAUUAAUCGAGGAAGAGGAGAAGAAAAUGAAAGCAGACAAAGAAAAGGCGGCGAAAUUGAAAUAGUCUACUGUUAGCGAAAAAGAUGUUUCCUUGGAAGAGAUGGUGGAUGCGACUACCCGGGAUGAAAAAGAAUAUGCAAAGGUUGCAUCAUCAUCAGAUACCGAUGAUCAGCUUUGUAAGCUCAGUCGUGCAUUGGUUGUUCUGGCUUCAGCAUCUUCAGUGAGCAGGGAACGGGAGGGGUUCUUAAGACUGACACCACUGGUUUUUCUUUGAACAAGUAUUUUCAAAUAAGGAGCAAUUCUGGAAGCAGCAGUUCUGGGAGCAGCAGUUCUGACAGCAGCAGUGCUUUUCGGAGUUACAAGAGACUAAGUGGACAAUCUAAGGGAACUAAAUUAACAUGGAUUCCAGCACAGUGUGCUCAACAACCGGGAUCACUAGAUUGUGGCUACUACGUCAUGCGUUUUAUGUACGACAUAAUAAUGAAUCAUGGUAAUAGUCAAGAUCUUACUAAGGAUUUUUCAAGAACAUUGCCUUAUUCACCGGAGGAGAUUAAUGAGGUGAAAGAUUUUUGGGCAAAUUACUUUGUGAACAAUGUCGAAUUUUUAGCUUAAUUUGUAAUAUGAACUCGAUCUCUAGCUAGCUACCUUUGUUGUAAUAAUUUUAUGUUUGUUGUAACAUGUUGGUUGAUCUAUGACGAAUUUAAUUGCCUUUUAUUGGGAACGUUAAUUACGUUGUAAACUUUUGUGACAGGUAUUAUUUAUAAAUGUAUUCCUGGUAUUGGGAAGCGUCUAAUUUCAAAGACGAUCAUGUCGGAAUUUACAACUUAAAUAUUAAAAAACAAAUUUAAAAAAAACAAAAAAUAAGUGAUUUGCGUCGCACGUUAGCUUAAUGUGCGACGCAAAAGACUUA